GUGUGUGAGCAAUUAGAACGAAACUGCGAUGGAGAUAUCUACAUCAUCAUCCAUGAACACUCAUGAGGAUGUUGAGCAGGAAGUUAGCUCUUAGAUUGUGAAGCUCCUGUGAUAAGUGAAGUGUAUGAUGAAGUUAUUGAUGCAUAUAUGGUAGAAUAAAGUAGGUUUGUUUACUACUAUGAAUUGUGAUUAAUGUGCAUGCGUUAUUGCAUAUGAGUUGCAUUUUGAGAAACUUGUAUUAUGUUUUAGUGGUUUCAUAUUUGUCUAUCAUGCGCCUUAAAGAUCUAAUUUGUUCUCUUUAAAUUUUGGCUACCAUAUUUGGGAGUAAUCUGUUGGUCGUAAAAUUCUUAGAUUCAGGUCUUAUGAAAUAUUAUGUCGUUAACCAACUUGUAAUAUUUUGGCAUGCUUAAUUAGAUUUGUACUUUGCGUUUUGUAAGUUGUAAAUUGGCUAUAAUUUGUAGGGCAAAUAUAUUUUGUGGUUGCCACGUUAUCACGUGUUAGAAAAGUGACGUGGUGCAAAAAAAGAAAUGGAAGCGGCAUAAUUAGUGGCGUUUUUAUAAAAAAAAAUAAACAAGAACCAAUCAAAAUCAACCAAUGAAAAGCCUCCAUAUCACCAAACCUAAACGCCCCACGCUGGUAGAGAAUCCCCCGCCCUCCACGCCACUUUUUCACACCCACUCCGUGUGGUCUUACACCAUAUGAUGUACGGUGGGUUGUGACGCUUGAUAGCCUCGUGUCAAUAGGAACAAGUUGGUAUAUAACCAAAUUGUUGUAAACGAACAAGUGUGUCGAUUAAUCAAUUCAAGUUUGCUUAGAGUAGCUAAUCUUUGUUGUUCGUUUCUUUGAUAUAUGUUCUUGAUUGUUGUUUGAAUGAUGAUCUCCUGCGACCAACAUAAAUAACCAAGUUUUCGUAAACCUUUCAUUUAUUAUCUUUUGAUAAUCUUAAUUGUUACAUUUGAUUAUGCAAACCUAUUAAGUAAACCAUAGAAACGUGCACGAACAUCAAGAAAACACAUUACAUAGAGAAACACCAAAAACCGAUCCAAGAAGGCAAGAAUUCUUAAGUAACUGUCAUCAUGUUUCGGUCUUUGAAUCUUUAUUUAAAGUUUUCUUCGGGUGGUGUUGGGUUGGGUCCCUAGCAACAAUAUUAAUAAGUAUUCACAUAAAAGCAUGUUAUACUUAGCAAGCAAUUCCUUCCCUUUUUGGGAGCCGACGAGGACUAGGCGUGAGGGACUAGGGCUACACUGAGGCAACUGACAACACGGGUCCAUGCGGCAGCAUGCUAGCAACUCCCUGAAUGAGCAAAGUAGAGAAGAAUGUGACUGGUUUAGUAAAAAUAAUAUGAGUUACGUUUAGCGAAACCUUUUUUUAAAGGGUUGAGUAGUCUUGUCACAUGUGUAGACCUUUUGAGGGCAACCCUUAAUUGGUUUUGUACCAUGUAUAUGUGGGCUGUCUUCUAAUUAAAAGCAGGAAUGGGAAAUGGGACUUGAGUGCAAAACAUUUAAGCAUGCAGAUGGCCUGGGUAGGACUCAAUUCCAUAUUUGAUGUGUUUGAUUGUCAAAUGAAAAUUUAAAUCUAUCACCCGACUUCUACCACCACCGGUUCAGGUCGAAACGGUUCGGGUCUGGUUGAAACGGUUCGGGUCAGGUUGAAACAGUUCGGGUGGAAACGGUACAUGUCGAAACGGUACGAGGCAAACUGUGUGGGUCAAAACGACGCUGGUCGAAGCGGUUCGGGUCAAACGGUGCGGGUUGAAACAACGAAGGUCAAAAUGGUUGGAGAUUCCAUUGAAUUAAUUGAGAUUUUGAAUUCCUUUAGUUAAAGGAAUUGGAAGGAAUUGUCCAAUUCCAAUGUCAACCAAAUGCAUGAAGAUUGGAAUUGAGAUUUUAAUUCCAACAAAUUAUGUGAACCAAAUAUCUUAAGAGUUGGAAUUCAGAUUCCAAUUCCCUUAAGUUUCAUUGAAAUCCGGCAAACAACGCACCAUUAGGUUGUAUUAUGUGUAUUUGUAUGUUAUUGCCAUAUAUGAAAUUUAGGUUGCAUUGUGU
rnacentral:lncRNA from 1 species